GACGCGCUGCGCUCCAUCGUCCCGCCCACGCGCUCUGUGUCACGGCCGCGGACCAAUCGCGACGCGCUGCGCUCCAUCGUCCUGAGCGGAGCUGGGGAUCCCGGGGAACCCCGGGGGACUCUGGGGGACUCUGGGGAGCCGGCACUGCCUGAGCGGAGCUGGGGAUCCCGGAGGGCCGGCACUGCCAGAGGGGAUCCUGGGGUACUCCAGGGCAUCCCGGGGAACCAGCACUGCCUGAGGGGGAUCCUGGGGAGCCGGCACUGCCAAAGGGGAGCUGGGGAUCCUGGGGGAUCCUGGGGAGCCAGCACUGCCCUAAGGGGCUGCCACCGAGCCACUGCUGACCCUGAUCCCCGACUGCCUCCAGCGCCCGGACUUUGCUGGAAGAGCGACCCCUCAGCUGUGAACAGCGCUGGAUAA
rnacentral:lncRNA from 1 species